UACGUAGGUGGCAAGCGUUGUCCGGAUUUAUUGGGCGUAAAGGGCUCGCAGGCGGUUUUCUAAGUCUGAUGUGAAAUCUUGCGGCUUAACCGUAAGCGGUCAUUGGAAACUGGGAGACUUGAGUGCAGAAGAGGAGAGUGGAAUUCCAUGUGUAGCGGUGAAAUGCGUAGAGAUAUGGAGGAACACCAGUGGCGAAGGCGACUCUCUGGUCUGUAACUGACGCUGAGGAGCGAAAGCGUGGGGAGCAAACAGG
rnacentral:rRNA from 1 species